AUUGAACGCUGGCGGAAUGCUUUACACAUGCAAGUCGAACGGCAGCACGGGGGCAGCCCUGGUGGCGAGUGGCGAACGGGUGAGUAAUACAUCGGAACGUGCCCGGUCGUGGGGGAUAACGUAGCGAAAGUUACGCUAAUACCGCAUACGAUCUGAGGAUGAAAGCGGGGGACCUUCGGGCCUCGCGCGAUCGGAGCGGCCGAUGCCAGAUUAGGUAGUUGGUGGGGUAAAGGCCUACCAAGCCGACGAUCUGUAGCUGGUCUGAGAGGACGACCAGCCACCCUGGGACUGAGACACGGCCCAGACUCCUACGGGAGGCAGCAGUGGGGAAUUUUGGACAAUGGGCGCAAGCCUGAUCCAGCCAUUCCGCGUGCAGGACGAAGGCCUUCGGGUUGUAAACUGCUUUUGUACGGAACGAACAGGCUCUGGCUAAUACCUGGGGCUCAUGACGGUACCGUAAGAAUAAGCACCGGCUAACUACGUG
rnacentral:rRNA from 1 species